rnacentral:misc_RNA from 1 species
AAGUCGUAACAAGGUCUCCGUAGGUGAACCUGCGGAGGGAUCAUUAACACGUUCCAAAACGUUCAACCAAACUUCGUCAUGUGAACUUAUAUCCUCCCUGAAAUAAGAAAACUAUUGCUGUUGUUGGCAAAUCUCGUGGUGGGUGCAAACGUAGCUUCGUCUACCUUGCACGAUUUGCUCAAUGACUGUGAGGCGCUUCGGUGACCUCAGGGCAUUUCUUAUUUUGGGAUUUUCACUGCCACGGUUUUCUUAACCCCUUUCACUUCGAUUCUGCUGAAAGCCUUUUCACAAAGGCCGAUCAGGGUCUAUAAAAAUUGACUAACAAUUUUUGCUGUUGAAAAACAGUGAAUUCAUAAAAGAACCAAAGCACAACUCUUAGCAACGGAUAUCUUGGUUCUC